rnacentral:tRNA from 1 species
UGGGGCGUGGUGUAACCCGGCAGCACGGCGGUUUCUGGUACCGCUAGUCCUGGUUCGAAUCCAGGCGCCCCAG